rnacentral:tRNA from 1 species
AAUGAUAUGCCUGAGUUAAAAGGAUUAUUUUGAUAAAAUAAAUUAUACAUUAUUAAAUUAAUUUUAAUGUUUUCAUUA